UCCGUAGGUGAACCUGCGGAGGGAUCAUUACACAAAUAUGAAGGCGGGCUGGAACCUCUCGGGGUUACAGCCUUGCUGAAUUAUUCACCCUUGUCUUUUGCGUACUUCUUGUUUCCUUGGUGGGUUCGCCCACCACUAGGACAAACAUAAACCUUUUGUAAUUGCAAUCAGCGUCAGUAACAAAUUAAUAAUUACAACUUUCAACAACGGAUCUCUUGGUUCUGGCAUCGAUGAAGAACGCAGCGAAAUGCGAUAAGUAGUGUGAAUUGCAGAAUUCAGUGAAUCAUCGAAUCUUUGAACGCACAUUGCGCCCUUUGGUAUUCCAAAGGGCAUGCCUGUUCGAGCGUCAUUUGUACCCUCAAGCUUUGCUUGGUGUUGGGCGUCUUGUCUCUAGCUUUGCUGGAGACUCGCCUUAAAGUAAUUGGCAGCCGGCCUACUGGUUUCGGAGCGCAGCACAAGUCGCACUCUCUAUCAGCAAAGGUCUAGCAUCCAUUAAGCCUUUUUUUCAACUUUUGACCUCGGAUCAGGUAGGGAUACCCGCUGAACUUAAGCAUAUCAAUAAGCGGAGG
rnacentral:rRNA from 1 species